rnacentral:tRNA from 1 species
GGCUUUAGCUCAGUGGAUAGAGUGCCCGGCUACGAACCGGUAGGUCGUGGGUUCGAAUCCCCCAAGCC